GGAUGUAUUACUGGGCUAAUCUUCUUUGGCAAACUGCCCUACUUCACUACCAUUUGGUGCAAGUUUGGUCUCAUUGCCAAAGAAGAUUUGCCCCGUAAUUCAACC
rfam:Nicotiana sylvestris Nsyl_contig176293, whole genome shotgun sequence.